GUUGUUUUAACAGGUAAUUCGCGCUCCUAAUUUUCUCUGAGCAGUAAAUUAUGCUUGGUGAUUUAUUGUGUUUACUGUUUGGUUGUUCAACUGUUUUGGGCACCAGUGUCUUGUUCUACCGGUGCUAUGAAAAAACAACUGACGAGUACAGUGACAUAGAAUCAGGGAAUGCGACGAACCUGAUAAAUCUAUUCAACAACGCGUCACUCUCCUUAACGUUUUACGUUCCCGGUUGGCAGGAGGAUUGUCGCAACAAGAGCUCAUUGACGAUCAUGUCAGCUCUACUAUCACUCGAUACUGGUGGACAUAUCUGCUGCUUUGACUGGAGCGCAAUUUCUAAGCUGGAUUACGUGUCAGCUGCGGUCAAAGUGCCGGAAGUUGGAAACACCUUGGGCAGAGAUAUGGCAAGCAUUUCGGAUAUGGGUUUUGCGAUAGACCAGCGUUGGUUUAUCGGCUUCUCAAUGGGAGCACAUGUCGCUGGAUGUGCGGGGCAACAUCUAAUUCAAACAAAUCAUUCACGACCCACACGAAUUACUGGCCUGGAUCCGGCUCUUCCACUCUUCUAUCCGCCAUUCAACGUCCAUAACUCCUGCCGUUUGAAUUCUUCCCAGUCUAAUUUGGUCGACGUCGUGCAUACGGAUGGCGGAGUUUAUGGCGUUCCUGAUCCAAUUGGAACCUGUGAUUUCUUCCCCAAUUCGGGAGUUCGUUACCAAAAAAAGUGUCCCUGGUUACCAAACACAUUUAAUAUCAAUGAAAUACUCCCAACAUAUCGAUGUAGCCAUGACAGAUCUUGGAUGUAUAUGGGAGAGGCGAUAAGAAACAAGAGCUCACAUUUAGCGGUACAGUGCGACAAUGCUGAAGAUUUUUACAACAAUUCUUGUAGUGGGAAUUUGAUAGUCGCGCUGGGCUUUUACCUCCACUUUAAAUCGUGCUCUGGAACGUAUUACUAUGAGACAAACGGAGGGCCUGUCUAUGGCAGGGGUGAAAAGGGCACGUACCCCAACAGCUCUUAAUUUUAGUUCAUCGUAACGUGGGAAAGAGAAUUAAGCAGAAAGUAUGAUUGAAACCUUGAAUAGCAUACGUAAGCCGAAGAGAAACGAAGAUAGAGACGGUCAAACUACCUUAUAAAAACCAAAUACACUUGCAAGAACUGAAUAAGAUAAGUUGAUCCUGAUUGGAUUACAAAACUCGUAGAUAGAGGAAGUUCGGUAAUUUUAAUCCUACAAGGUUGGCUGAAGGCGAAGGGUUUGAGAACACAUGCAGAUCGAAAUAAAGAGUGAGAUUCAUUUUAAUGAUUCGCUUUAUUCCGCGUUUAGAUCAGUACUGAGGAUGCAGCUGAUGUGAGAGAAUCACGAACAGUACUUAGAACUAAGACAAUAUUCAGGAAGGUAUGGAAUAGUGCCUCAGUUACCCAAGAUGCAAAGCGCGACUUUGGUCAGCUAAGCUUAGUGGAGUGAAAAUUUUUACGGUAAGAUGACUUUGAAAAAUGCCUUCCCCGUACCCCCUCACGCUACUUCAUCGCGCAAUCAUCCAAUCUGCCAGCCGUCAAUUUCCAAUUUCGCCGAAUAGUUCAUAGUUUUUGUACGCAAUGCUGACAGUUUGGUAGCUGAAACAACUGUGAUAGGCAAGGGGACAGUUCGACAAAGUUUCAGCCGUCUGCUACAGAUGGCACGGGAAUCGCGCCACACACGGAAUCUUUUGGGCACGGUCUUAUAUACAGGUCCGGAAACUCCAUUGGAGGGGGUAUGUCGCUUAUUGAAGCAAUUUUUGUGUUCACUAGUCGCCACUAGGUUCGUUGCGAUCUUAUCAACAGCGGUGGCGGGGCCGAGUGGGGUCCAGACAAGACCGUGGUAUUCG